rnacentral:ribozyme from 1 species
AGAGAGAAAAAAUCACAAAAAUCACGUGGACGAACACAUCGGCAGAAAGGGAGACUAAAAUUUUUUUUUUUUAUGCUCGUUCUCCUCAUUUUUUCUCUCUCUCUCUCUCCCGUUUAAAUUGUCGACUAAGAGAAGAACGUUUAAAGAGUGUCCUCCUGUAUUUCAACACGACUAUAAAAAUAUAAAAUAAUGAAU